rnacentral:lncRNA from 1 species
AAUUAGGGUCUUGGUAUAGAGCAAGAAAUCCUGUCAAUAUUGGGCAACAAUCAACAGGAGCCAAGGAGUAAUAGCCUUCUCCUAUAGAUUAAAGGCUCAUGUUCCAGUGGACCUUAAACCCAAACACUCUCUUAGAAGCAUCAACUUCUCUUUACCAUUGCAUUUGAAAUCUUUUGUUUUUUUAAGAGUAUUCUCUUUUCCAAUGUCUAUCAAAAGUAGAAAAGAAAACAAAAACACAGCAGUGUUUCAAGAAAUAAAGAAAAUAAAUAUCAGAACUAUCUUACAGAACUGAAACCUGCAGGCAUUUACAACUGCAACCCCUGAAGAAAAGGAUGGAGAAGCCAGUUAUUAAUGGAUGCAUUGGAAACUAGAAGAAAUGAAGAGAGGCAGAGACUAAAUAGAACACAAAAGACCCACAAACUGCUGCUGUUGGUAUAUAAACAUCUAACUAAACACUAGGAUAAGUCAGGCCUAGUAAAUCUGUCUUCUCAGAAAUUAGAAUAGGGCUAUCAAAAAUAGUAAUCAUUGGAGUUCCUGUUGUGGCUCAGUGGUUAACAAAGCUGACUAGUAUCCACGAGGACAUGGGUUCAAUCCCUGGCCUUGCUCAGUGGGUUAGGGAUCCGGCAUUGCCCUGAGCUGUGGUAGGUGACAGACUCGGCUUGGAUUGGGCACUGCUGUGGCACAGGCUGGCAGCUGUAGCACCAAUUUGACUCCUAGCCUGGGAACCUCCAUAUGUCAAAGGUGCAGCCCUAAAGAGACACACAAACACACAAAAAAGCAGUAAUCAUAGCUAGCAAAGGGAACUGAAGCUGAAAGAAUACAUAGCAAGCCAAUAUAAUGCAGAGGUGAGGCCACAAAGGCCACAAGGAAGCAAAACUUACGGCAAAGGUGAAGCCCUAAGUAAGCAGAACCUAUGAAUAAGCUAAAAAUAUGAGGAGGGAAAAAAAAAGAUAAAACAAAAUGGACAGGCCAGGCCAACAGGCAGUAAGAGAAAUAAGACACAAAAGUUAAGACAGAGUAGCUCAGUUACAUAAACGGCACAAUCCUAACAUGAAGAACCACAAACUCUUGCUGCUGAGUUUCCCAGAGCUUCUCUGGACCCAGGUCCCAUUCCCUAAAAGCCAUAACCAUAUUAAAGUUCCCCUAUAUUUGGAAUGUCAUGUGAUUCCAGUCACCAUUAUUUUCCCACAAGCCAAACAAUAACUUGUCAUUAGAUCAUUGUGGAAUCUGUUUCUAGCAAUCAGAAGUGCCUAAUCAAUAGUAAGAAGCAGAAUAGCCCCUCAUGGGGAAUGCAAUUUAGGGAACUGACUGUGAUCUUGUGGAAAACCCCUUGUUUUAAAGAUGCUGUGCAAACCAGCUUGUGGCAUGGAAUUUACAUUUUAUAUUCAAUUUAGAAGGUGAGA